rnacentral:rRNA from 1 species
CCUACGGGAGGCAGCAGUGGGGAAUAUUGCACAAUGGGGGGAACCCUGAUGCAGCGACGCCGCGUGAGUGAAGAAGUAUUUCGGUAUGUAAAGCCCUAUCAGCAGGGAAGAAAAUGACGGUACCUGACCAAGGAGCCCCGGCUAACUACGUGCCAGCCGCCGCGGGUAGACGUAGGGGGCCAGCGUUAUCCGGAUUUACUGGGUGUAAAGGGAGCGUAGACGGCAGAGCAAGUCUGAAGUGAAAGACCGGGGCCAAACCGCGGUACUGCUUUGGAUACUGCGCGGCUAGGGUGCGGGAGAGGUAGGCGGAAUUCCUGGUGUAGCGGUGAAAUGCGUAGAUAUUAGGAGGAACACCGGUGGCGAAGGCGGCUUACUGGACAGUAACUGACGUUGAGGCUCGAAAGCGUGGGGAGCGAACAGGAUUAGAUACCCGUGUAGUC